CACUCUUUAUUUAAUUAUGUGGCUUAGAAGGAAGAUUGAAGUCAAUACAGUCAGCUGUAUUUUACGUGAUUACAUCAUAUUAGUGUGCAUAGUUGCGAAGCAUACAUAUCAGUCUCCAAAAAGUUUAAUGGAGAUAGCCAGAGUCUUUCAAGUUCUUAGGAAAUACUGGUUUGUAACAUUCAUCCCGUCCUGUACUAUACUUGCUAUUUGUGCAGAUUUGAGACAUACAUAUUUGUGGAAGAAACAAUUAGCUGCAGAGGGGAAAUUAAAAUCAAACAUUUAGAAUGUCACCAUUAUCACCAAUUACACAACAAGCUAUAGCAACUGUUGGUCUUUUAUGUGUAAUAUUUACUUCUCGCCAACUUUACAACUAUAGCUCUGGGUUAUUUAUGAGUGACUAUCGUGAUAAAUCAGCUUUAUUUGGAA